GAUGAAGAACGUAGCGAAAUGCGAUACUUGGUGUGAAUUGCAGAAUCCCGUGAACCAUCGAGUCUUUGAACGCCAGUUGCGCCCGAAGCCAUUAGGCCGAGGGCACGCCUGCCUGGGCGUCACACGUCGUUGCCCCCCCAUCUACUCCUUCGGGAUUGCGGGGGGCGGAUGAUGGCCUCCCGUGCGCCUCGUCGCGCGGUUGGCAUAAAUGCCAAGUCCUCGGCGACGCACGCCACGACAAUCGGUGGUUGCGAAACCUCGGUUGCCCGUCGUGUGCGGUCGUCGCGCAUCGAGGGCUCGAAAAAAUUGCCGGGCUCCGGCUCGGCUUUCAACGCGACCCCAGGUCAGGCGGGGUUACCCGCUGAAUUUAAGCAUAUCAAUAAGCGGAGGA
rnacentral:misc_RNA from 1 species